rnacentral:tRNA from 1 species
GUUCAAAUAGUUUAAAAAAAAAUUUAGGUUUGUGGUACCUAGGAUGUAACAUGUUACUUUGGACA